rnacentral:rRNA from 1 species
UCUCUGUUCACGGGAUUGAUUGGCAUUAGCGGCGAUGAAGGACGUGGCUGAGGACGAUAUGCGUUGUUGUUUGGG